rnacentral:lncRNA from 1 species
CUCCUUCUCAGUGAGUUCUUUUACUCCUCCUCCUCAUCCAUCCCCUCUGCCCCUCCCUGGCCACUGCCUCUGUCUCUCCUCCCACCCCCCACCUGGGGUUUGCAGCCCCCUAUUCCCGUCCCCCGGCCCAGCUCGGGAGGCCCCCUGCCUUGGCACAGACGGUCCUGUGAUGUCUGUUUCGCAGUUUAGGGCCUGGGAGCUCGGCUGCACGUUGGCGUCCGCCUGCAGCUCCUGAUUAAACGGGGACACGGUCCCGCGACUUGGAAGGGCGCGUGCUCACCCGGGAGGCGUCCGUCGCUCCCCGUCCCUCGGGCUCCUCUUUCCCACUCGGGCUUCUCUCUUUUCAGGCCCCUCCCGGCCUCUGUCACCCGCUCCCCGUCCUCUCUUCUCCACGCCUCGCCCGCCCUCGCCCUGUCUCCGGAGACCCCCCUUCCCUCGCCCGCCCUCGCCCUCGGGGCUCCGUCCACCCUGGGGCCGGGCUGCCGAGCCAGAGUCCCCGAGUUGGACGGGCCUUUCUGACCCCCAUUUUCUCUCUCUUCUGCGUGUCCCGGACCCUGGACACCGCCUGAAGGGCCCGGGCCGGCCCCGGGUCCAAGGAAGGGAAGCAAGGCGCAGGCUCAGAGGCAGGGAGCACAGUGCCCAGAGGCACACAGCACGUAAGUGGCGGGGCCAGGCCCUGGCCCCUCCGCGGCUCUGCAGACCCCUGGACUCGCGUCUGAACUUGCGGAGAAGGGGGCGGCCUGCCUUCUGCCCCUCCACCGCCUCCCCCUCCCCUCUCCCUCCCGCAGCGAGAAGCACCGCAGCGCAGGGAGGACCUCGCCCGACCCCCACUUCGCCGAUAAGAAACCAGGCGCCUCGCGGUCCCGAGGACCAGCAUCCGCCGGGACAGAGGCUUCGCGGGAGCCCCGACCUUGGCCAAGGACCGCCAGCGCCCCCUGCAGGGAACCGCACGGACCUGCAGGAGCAGCGUUCUCAGCCCGGCUGGGCUUCCGUCGCCACCUACUGGCAAGGGAGGAAACUGCAGCCGAGCUCCCGCAGACCCGGGAUCGUGCACAGGAGAGAGAGGCCCCUGCCUGGGGCUGGGGAGAGGCUGCUGGUGGGAGAAGGGGACAGGCAGGAUCUGCAAAAUUCUGGAAACAUUAAAGAUUGUCCCUUAACCAGUACGUAAGCACGGUACGCGGCAAGUUGCUUGGUCGCCGGCGUAAACCUCCAGCUGCGCGAGCGUUUGCUGUCGAGCUCCGCUCUCCCGCCGCCCUAGAAACGCGGUGACCGCUGUGGGAAAGGGCGAGUGGGAUAUGGUUUCAAAACUUGCUGCCCUGGAGCCUACCUGUAGGAGUGGGGCCACGCUGAGUUUCCCUUCAGAAAUGGAGGGUGGGUGCAAGCAGAGGUAAAGGGCUGACAGGCCCCAAGCCUCGCCGAGUCUCCCCUAGGACGCCUAACACAGAAAACUCUAGAAUUGUUUCCAGGAGCUACCUGCUGCAACACACAAUUCGGAGUGGUAAACAUUCUUUAAAGCCUUGCUCAGUGGGUUAAGGAUCCAGCAUUGCUGUGAGCUGUGGUGUGGGCUGCAGAUGUGGCUCAGACCCCGUGUUACUGUGGCUGUGGCUCCAGUUCCACACUAGCCUGGGAACCUCCAUAUGCCACAGGUAAGACCCUAAAAAAAAAAAAAAAGGUAAAAGGUUGCUUAUCAAGUAACUAUUUUAAAAAUUUUUAUUCUGGCCACAACCACGGCAUGCAGACGUUCCCAGGCCAGGGAUCCAACCUGAGCCACAGGGGUUCCUUUUGUGGCUCAGCGGUAAUGAACACGACUAGCAUCCAUGAGGACACGGGUUCAGUCCCUGGCCUUGCUCAGUGGGUUAAGGAUCGGCGCUGCAAUGAGCUGUGCUGUAGGUCACAGAUGCUUCUCGGAUCCUGAGUAGCUGUGGCUGUGGUGUAGACUGGCAGCUCCAAUUCGACCCCUAGCCUGGGAACUUCCAUAUGCUACAGGUGCAGCCCUAAAAAGCAAAACAAACAAAAAAGAACCCUGAACCACAGCAGUGACAACUCGGAUCCUUAACUCCGAGCCACCAGAGACUGUUUUAAAUAUACCCAAAUGACAACAAGGAACCCUAGGUUUGCAGAGGGGAGGUUCCUCAGUGCCACAGAACAGGUGACAUUCUGUGGGGCAA